rnacentral:rRNA from 1 species
CGUAGCCGACCUGAGAGGGUGAUCGGCCACACUGGAACUGAGACACGGUCCAGACUCCUACGGGAGGCAGCAGUAGGGAAUCUUCCGCAAUGGGCGAAAGCCUGACGGAGCAACGCCGCGUGAGUGAUGAAGGUCUUCGGAUCGUAAAACUCUGUUAUUAGGGAAGAACAUACGUGUAAGUAACUAUGCACGUCUUGACGGUACCUAAUCAGAAAGCCACGGCUAACUACGUGCCAGCAGCCGCGGUAAUACGUAGGUGGCAAGCGUUAUCCGGAAUUAUUGGGCGUAAAGCGCGCGUAGGCGGUUUUUUAAGUCUGAUGUGAAAGCCCACGGCUCAACCGUGGAGGGUCAUUGGAAACUGGAAAACUUGAGUGCAGAAGAGGAAAGUGGAAUUCCAUGUGUAGCGGUGAAAUGCGCAGAGAUAUGGAGGAACACCAGUGGCGAAGGCGACUUUCUGGUCUGUAACUGACGCUGAUGUGCGAAAGCGUGGGGAUCAAACAGGAUUAGAUACCCUGGUAGUCCACGCCGUAAACGAUGAGUGCUAAGUGUUAGGGGGUUUCCGCCCCUUAGUGCUGCAGCUAACGCAUUAAGCACUCCGCCUGGGGAGUACGACCGCAAGGUUGAAACUCAAAGGAAUUGACGGGGGCCCGCACAAGCGGUGGAGCAUGUGGUUUAAUUCGAAGCAACGCGAAGAACCUUACCAGGUCUUGACAUCCUUUGACCACUCUAGAGAUAGAGCUUUCCCUUCGGGGACAAAGUGACAGGUGGUGCAUGGUUGUCGUCAGCUCGUGUCGUGAGAUGUUGGGUUAAGUCCCGCAACGAGCGCAACCCUUAAGCUUAGUUGCCAUCAUUAAGUUGGGCACUCUAAGUUGACUGCCGGUGACAAACCGGAGGAAGGUGGGGAUGACGUCAAAUCAUCAUGCCCCUUAUGAUUUGGGCUACACACGUGCUACAAUGGACAAUACAAAGGGCAGCGAAACCGCGAGGUCAAGCAAAUCCCAUAAAGUUGUUCUCAGUUCGGAUUGUAGUCUGCAACUCGACUACAUGAAGCUGGAAUCGCUAGUAAUCGUAGAUCAGCAUGCUACGGUGAAUACGUUCCCGGGUCUUGUACACACCGCCCGUCACACCACGAGAGUUUGUAACACCCGAAGCCGGUGGAGUAACCAUUUGGAGCUAGCCGUCGAAGGUGGGACAAAUGAUUGGGGUGAAGUCGUAACAAGGUAGCCGUAUCGGAAGGUGCGGCUG